rnacentral:rRNA from 1 species
GACGAACGCUGGCGGCGUGCUUAACACAUGCAAGUGGAGCGACGAACCGGGCUUCGGCCCGGGGCAAAGCCGCGAACGGGUGAGUAACACGUGGGUAACCUGCCCCGAUGAUUGGGACAACCUCGGGAAACCGAGGCUAAUACCAAAUGUGCUCACACUCCUCGAGGAGUGUGAGGAAAGGAAGCUUCGGCCUCCGCAUCGGGAUGGGCCCGCGGCGCAUUAGCUUGUUGGUGGGGUAAUGGCCUACCAAGGCUUCGAUGCGUAGCUGGUCUGAGAGGACGAUCAGCCACACUGGGACUGAGACACGGCCCAGACUCCUACGGGAGGCAGCAGUGGGGAAUCUUGCACAAUGCGCGAAAGCGUGACGCAGCAACGCCGCGUGCGGGAAGACGGCCUUCGGGUUGUAAACCGCUUUCAGUUGGGACGAAGCUUCGCCGGUGAAUAGCCGGCCGGAGUGACGGUACCUUCAGAAGAAGCCCCGGCUAACUACGUGCCAGCCGCCGCAGUAA